AUGAACGCUGGCGGCGUGCUUAACACAUGCAAGUCGAACGGAAAGGCUCCUGCUUGCAGGGGUACUCGAGUGGCGAACGGGUGAGUAACACGUGGGUGAUCUGCCCUGCACUUCGGGAUAAGCCUGGGAAACUGGGUCUAAUACCGGAUAGGACGAUGGUUUGGAUGCCAUUGUGGAAAGUUUUUCGGUGUGGGAUGAGCUCGCGGCCUAUCAGCUUGUUGGUGGGGUAAUGGCCUACCAAGGCGUCGACGGGUAGCCGGCCUGAGAGGGUGUACGGCCACAUUGGGACUGAGAUACGGCCCAGACUCCUACGGGAGGCAGCAGUGGGGAAUAUUGCACAAUGGGCGCAAGCCUGAUGCAGCGACGCCGCGUGGGGGAUGACGGCCUUCGGGUUGUAAACUCCGUUCGCUAGGGACGAAGCGUUUUGUGACGGUACCUGGAGAAGAAGCACCGGCUAACUACGUG
rnacentral:rRNA from 1 species